rnacentral:lncRNA from 1 species
UUCAAAUCACAUUCAGAAUCAAUAUUUCAAACAGGAUAGGGAGCAAAUGAAAUUGGUCCAAACCAACAUUAAAUUUGUCUAUUACAAUCUUUACACUACACCACAACCCAGAUAUACCUACUACUGCCUACUAUUACAAUACAUAUACUAUUCUUUGUUGAUACACUUCAUAGCUUCACACUUGGCUUUGUACUUCACCUGUGCAAAAAAUAGGAAUAAGAUGUGAACUAACACUGCAGGUAUUUAAAUAACAACAUUUACAAAAAAAGUGUGAACUAACACUACAGGUUGUCAUAUACAAAAAUAGUAGGUUGUUCAAGUGCAGAUGAGGUCGACUUCAAAAGCUAAAAUUGCAUCGACUACUGUCUGCGACAGUUAAAAUAUACAAGAAAUUUGUUCAUAUACAAGAAAAGUAGGUUGUCUGCUUCCAGUGGCACCAAGUAUAAACUGAAAAAACAUGUUCGGACGACUAGCUAAGAAUUAGUGGAACAUGAGAGCACUGGUUCAUCUCAAAUACAAAAAAAUAAGACAAGACUCUGAAGUACACCUAAAGAGUAGAUUGAUCCAAGGUCUGAAAAUCAUUAUAUGCAUCAGGUAGCAUCGUUUUAAGAUGACCAACGCAUGUUGCAGAACAGCUACAGAUUGUACAACUAUGCAAUUUUGCAUGAUAAAAAUACUCUCCCAGGCCAGGAGAUUGAGAUCAUAGAGCCUGAUGAACAAAUGGACCUUCAACAAAUUAGCAUCACUCUUUUUGGGCUUUGACGACAAAAUAACAGUAAGAAAGGUCCCUAUCUAAAUAUAUGAAAUUACUAGUUCCAACAUAUUGAGAACACACUUGACAGAGGAUGCUAUAAAGAAACUGGAUACAAGCUAAACCCGUGGACUUCCUAGAAUAUGCUACUACAACUGAAUCCCCCUCUAUAACCAUGAACACUUCAAGCACGAGCAGCAAACUGGUCAGCAGAAAACCGAGCUCUUAGUGCUACCCAAUAAUAACAGAAAACCGAGCUCUUAGUGCUACCCAGCUUUACAUCUUAACAUAAUACAAGAUCCACUGGGCAUUUCGGUAGAACCAUUCAUUAUUACUAGCCCACUACAAAAAAUAUAUGAACACUAGUCCUAUAUAACCCAAAUAGAAAAUGUGGGUGCAUAGGGGAGGGGACGAACCAAAUGUAGAAUAGGAGUUGCUUUCAGUGUUCC